rnacentral:rRNA from 1 species
UACAGAGGGGCAAGCGUUAUUCGGAAUUAUUGGGCGUAAAGGGCGCGUAGGCGGCUUGGCAAGUGGAUGGUGAAAUCCCUCGGCUUAACCGAGGAACUGCCGUCCAAACUGCUUCGCUUGAGACCGGGAGAGGUGAGUGGAAUUCCCAGUGUAGCGGUGAAAUGCGUAGAUAUUGGGAGGACACCGGUGGCGAAGGCGGAUCUCUGGGCCAUUACGUGACGCUGAGGAGCGAAAGCGUGGGAGCGAACGAGG